UUUAAUUAAAAGAAAAUAGCUAGCUAUUUUCCCGAAGUAAGAAGAUUUAAUUAUUAUUGGGUUUUAGUCUCCAUAAAAUUAUAAUGUGGCAAAAUUAUUUCAAAAAUAAUAAUUAGGAGUGAAAGACUUUUCAAUUCUUACUGAUAUCUGGAUUAAACUUAAAAAUAUUUAGUAUUUAGGGCAACUCCAAAGUGCUAAGGUUUUGGGGAAAGAAAAAAUUAGCAUAUUUAAUGUGCUUCUUAUUAAAAUAAAAUAGCCUAAAAAACUUAAAUAAUUAUACUAGCUUCUUUUUUUCAAUAAUUUAGGUUUUUAAGUAUUUUAAUUUUCUGAUAAUUUAAAUAAUGUUAAAAUGAGUAUUCACGAUAAAAAAAAGGAAAGGAACUCGGCAAAAAAAAUUUUCAACUGUUUAUCAAAAACAUAGCUAGCAGAAUAACUUGUUAGUGAGCUCUGCCCAGUGAUUACUAUUUCAACGGCCGCAGUACACUGACUGUGCAAAGGUAGCAUAAUCAAUUGACUUUUAAUUGGAGUCCGGUAUGAAAGAGUUUUUGAAAAAAAGCUGUCUUUUCUUUUUUAUAGAGAACUUGCUGAGAAAGUGAAAAUUCUUUCGAUACAUUAAUAAAAGACGAGAAGACCCUAUGAAUUUUUACUAAUGGGCCUAUAAUCUUUAUGUUUUUGUUGGGGCAACAAGUCUACACAUUAACAAAAUUAGACUAAAAUAUUUAUUAAACCGAGUUAUAUUAAAAGAAAUUAAAUUACUAUAGGGAUAACAGCAUAAUUUUUUUAAUAAGAUUGUGACCUCGAUGUUGGAUUAGGAACUAUUUUGAUAAGUAAUUAAAAUAGAGGGUUCUGUUCGAACUUUUUUACCU
rnacentral:rRNA from 1 species